AGGUAAUGCGAUGAGAUUGAAUGUAAUCAUCUCUCUAAGAUGCUCAGAGACAAUGUGAAGUACAAAAUAUAAAGAUAAGAAGGUUGGAGUGGUAAACUAAAAAGGAAGGGGAACAUAAGAGAGAGAAAAUAAGAUAGAGGGAAGAGAAAAUAAGGAAAGGAGAAAUGAAUAGAAAAAGAAUGCAGCUAAGAAGGAGAAAGAGAUUGAAUGAUCUGAGUAAGUUUCAGGUAAAGAUUCAGUAUCAUUUUGUUUAUUAAGAUCUUGUUUCUGUCUUCUAAUGUGAAUCAUUUCAGACACCAAACUCUUAUUAUACGAAGAUUCGUAUAAUAAAAUUUUUACCUCGUUCCACCUAAUAUUGUGAUCAAAAUUAAUACGAUGAUCAGUUAUAACAGUGGGAGAACCAGUAUUCUUCUUAAUGUCUGAGAUAUGGAUAGAAAAGGCUAGUUUACAAUGGAACAUACUAGAAAUAGGAAGGAAACUUUCGGAAAUAGAUUUGACGGAUAGAUUUAAAGAAUCGUAAAAUAGAAGAUAAAAGAGAGAGAAUAACAAUUAUUUGAAAGGUAUGAAUUGCAUCUAUCAGAUUUUUUUGUUGGAACCAUGGAUGUGAUAAGAGGAUAAUUUUGUCAAUGAAACUAAUAAUAGUGUCUUUUUUAUGGCAAAGAGGAUGAUUUGAAUGGAAAUUAAGGAAUCUUCCCGAAACCGUCUUUUUAUG